rnacentral:misc_RNA from 1 species
AAGUCGUAACAAGGUCUCCGUAGGUGAACCUGCGGAGGGAUCAUUAACGAACGGCCCUCGGGCCCUCAACCUCAAACCCGUGGAAGCCAUGAUGUGCUUCGGCGCCUCCGAGCGCCGCCUUUAUGCAGACGUGAGUGUGUCUGAAUCAAAUCCGAGUCAAAACUUUCAACAAAGGAUCUCUUGGCUCUC